rnacentral:rRNA from 1 species
GACGAACGCUGGCGGCGUGCCUAACACAUGCAAGUCGAACGAACAGACGAGGAGCUUGCUGCUUUGACGUUAGCGGCGGACGGGUGAGUAACACGUGGAUAACCUACCUAUAAGACUGGGAUAACUACGGGAAACCGGAGCUAAUACCGGAUAAUAUAUUGAACCGCAUGGUUCAAUAGUGAAAGACGGUUUUGCUGUCACUUCUAGCUGGAUCCGGGCCGGUUUAGCUAGUUGGUAAGGUAACGGCCUACCAAGGCGAGGAUGCGUAGACGACCGGAGAGAGUGAUAGCCCACCUUGGAACUGGACCGGCCACACGGGUACUAAGAGACGGACCAGUAGGCAACGGGACGCAACGGGCGGAAGCCUGACAGAACAGGCCAACGCGAGUGGUGGCGGUGUCGGGAUCGUGAUAAUCGCUUACUAGGGAAGAACAAAUUUCUACGUAACUGAACCCGUCUUGACGGUACCUGAUCAGAAAGCAACGGCUAACUACGUG